rnacentral:rRNA from 3 species
GGACUACCCGGGUAUCUAAUCCCGUUUGCUCCCCUGGCUUUCGCGCCUCAGCGUCAGAAGAGGUCCAGCACGUCGCUUUCGCCACCGGCGUUCCUUCCGAUAUCUACGCAUUUCACCGCUCCACCGGAAGUUCCACAUGCCCCUACCUCCCUCGAGGCGAUCCGUCUCAGGGGCACGGGUCCGGUUGAGCCGAACGAUUUCACCCCUGACAAGACCGCCCGCCUACGCGCCCUUUAAGCCCAGUGAAUCCGAACAACGUUCGCACGGUUCGUCUUACCGCGGCGGCUGGCAC